rnacentral:rRNA from 1 species
GAUGAACGCUGGCGGCGUGCUUAACACACGCAAGUCGAACGAAGCACCUUGGAAUGCGUCUUCGGACAAAUGAAUUGGUGACUUAGUGGCGGACGGGUGAUUAACGCGUGGGUAACCUGCCUCACACAGGGGGAUAACAGUUAGAAAUGACUGCUAAAACCGCAUAACAUGGAGAGACCGCAUGACCUUGCCAUCAACUAUUUAUAGGUGUGAGAGGGGCCCGCGUCUGAUUAGCUAGUUGGUAGGGUAAUGGCCUACCACGGCGACAAUCAGUGUGCGGCGUGAGAGAGUGAACGGCCACAUUGGGACUGAGACAAGGCCCGAACGCCUACGGGAAGCAGCAGUGGGGGAUAUUGGACAAUGGGGGAAGCCCUGAUCCAGCGACGCCGCGUGAGUGAAGAAGUAUUUCGGUAUGUAAAGCUCUAUCAGCAGGGAAGAAAAAGAACCAGAUGGACUGUACCUGACUAAGAAGCCCCGGCUAACUACGUGCCAGCAGCCGCGGUAAAAC